AUGGCACUCAAGGCAGUCUCGCAGGAGGCCGCGCGGCACAAGAAGAGCGGCGGGAGCGGCGGCGGGGACAGACACCGGAGGAUCUGGUUCGAGCGCGACGUGCUCCUGGCCCUGCGCCACCCGCUGCUCCCCGCCCUCCGCUGCGUCCUCGCCACCGACGCCGUCGUCGGCUUCGCCAUCGGCCGCUGCAGCAGCGGCGACCUCAACUCCCUCCGACGCCGCCAGACCGAGAAGAUGUUCUCCGACUCCGUCAUACGGGACGCGGCCAAGAUCCUGGUGGCCUCGCGCUCCACCGCGCCUGACAGCAAGCUGAAGGUCGUCUACAAGAAGUACUCGAGCGAGAAGCUGGGAGGAGUCGCCCAUCCAGAUUACAUCAUGCUUGACUACUUGACAAGGACAAGAAGGAACAUGCCCAGGAGAAGAAGGAGCAAGCCCAGGAGAAAAAAACAAGUAGGAGAAGAAGGCCCUGGAUUGCUGUUGCUGGAGUGUUUACGGAAACAUGAUCUUCUCCCAUGUGACCAUUGGUGCUGCCGCCGCUGCUGUGCCAGUUGGAGGUGCUGCUGCUGCAUCUGGUGGAGCUGCAGCUGCCGCCCCAAAGGGCAAACCUUCAUCAGACACAACCCCAUAACAGGGCCUUAA
rnacentral:rRNA from 1 species